AUGUAUGAGAUAUUUAUAUAAAAGCUCCUUAUGUCGCUCUCAAGCCUCGUAAAUGGAUUCAUCAUCUUCCUGCUGAAAAGAAGUAAUAUCGUUACGCAAUUU